rnacentral:rRNA from 1 species
UACGUAGGUGGCAAGCGUUGUCCGGAAUUAUUGGGCGUAAAGCGCACGCAGGCGGUUCUUUAAGUCUGAUGUGAAAGCCCACGGCUCAACCGUGGAGGGUCAUUGGAAACUGGAGAACUUGAGUACAGAAGAGGAAAGCGGAAUUCCACGUGUAGCGGUGAAAUGCGUAGAGAUGUGGAGGAACACCAGUGGCGAAGGCGGCUUUCUGGUCUGUAACUGACGCUGAGGCGCGAAAGCGUGGGGAGCAAACAGG